rnacentral:rRNA from 1 species
CUCGUAGGCGGUUCAACAAGUCGGUCGUGAAAGCCCGGGGCUCAACCCUGGGACGCCGGUCGAAACUGUUGUGACUAGGGUCCGGUAGAGGUGAGUGGAAUUCUCGGUGUAGCGGUGGAAUGCGCAGAUAUCGAGAGGAACACCAGUAGCGAAGGCGGCUCACUGGGCCGGUACCGACGCUGAGGAGCGAAAGCAUGGGGAGCAAACA